CAUCGUUGCCCCUGUGCCUUGGCCACGUGCUAGGCACCGAGCGGGGCGAAUGUUGGCUUCCCGCGAGCAGCGUCUCACGGUUGGUUGAAAACUGAGUCCGCGGUGGAGGGCACCGUGAUGGAUGGUGGCUGAGUUAAAGCUCGAGACCGAUCGUGUGUGUCACCUCCACCAGCUUUGCGACUCUGUGACCCAUGGGGUCUGUUGACCGCCCAAGACGGGA
rnacentral:rRNA from 1 species